rnacentral:rRNA from 1 species
UUCCUACGGGGGGCAGCAGUGAGGAAUAUUGGUCAAUGGGCGGGAGCCUGAACCAGCCAAGUCGCGUGAGGGAAGACGGUCCUACGGAUUGUAAACCUCUUUUGCCGGGGAGCAACGGGGUCCUUGCGAGGGCCCGAUGAGAGUACCCGGAGAAAAAGCAUCGGCUAACUCCGUGCCAGCAGCCGCGGUAAUACGUAGGUGGCAAGCGUUAUCCGGAAUUAUUGGGCGUAAAGAGCGCGCAGGUGGUUAAUUAAGUCUGAUGUGAAAGCCCACGGCUUAACCGUGGAGGGGCAUUGGAAACUGGU